rnacentral:rRNA from 1 species
UGGGGAAUUUUGGACAAUGGGCGAAAGCCUGAUCCAGCAAUGCCGCGUGUGUGAAGAAGGCCUUCGGGUUGUAAAGCACUUUUGUCUGGAAAGAAAUCCUUGGCUCUAAUACAGUCGGGGAGUGACGGUACCGGAAGAAUAAGCACCGGCUAACUACGUGCCAGCAGCCGCGGUAAUACGUAGGGUGCAAGCGUUAAUCGGAAUUACUGGGCGUAAAGCGUGCGCAGGCGGUUUUGCUAAGACCGAUGUGAAAUCCCCGGGCUCAACCUGGGAACUGCAUUGGUGACUGGCAGGCUAGAGUAUGGCAGAGGGGGGUAGAAUUCCACGUGUAGCAGUGAAAUGCGUAGAGAUGUGGAGGAAUACCGAUGGCGAAGGCAGCCCCCUGGGCCAAUACUGACGCUCAUGCACGAAA